rnacentral:rRNA from 1 species
UUAAGUCCGGCAACGAGCGCAACCCCUUUCUUUAGUUGCCAUCAUUCAGUUGGGCACUCUAGAGAUACUGCCUGGGUUAACCAGGAGGAAGGUGGGGAUGACGUCAAGUCAUCAUGGCCCUUACGGCUAGGGCUACAAACGUGCUACAAUGGGGGGUACAGAGGGAAGCAAGACCGCGAGGUGGAGCAAAUCCCUAAAACCUCUCUCAGUUCGGAUUGUGGUCUGCAACUCGACCACAUGAAGUUGGAAUCGCUAGUAAUCGUGGAUCAGCAUGCCACGGUGAAUACGUUCCCGGGCCUU